rnacentral:rRNA from 1 species
UACGGGGGGGGCAAGCGUUGUUCGGAAUUACUGGGCGUAAAGGGCUCGUAGGUGGCCAACUAAGUCAGGCGUGAAAUCCCUCGGCUUAACCGGGGAACUGCAUCUGAUACUGGAUGGCUGGAGAUUGGGAGAGGGAUGCGGAAUUCCAGGUGUAGCGGUGAAAUGCGUAGAUAUCUGGAGGAACACCGGUGGCGAAGGCGGCAUCCUGGACCAACACUGACGCUGAGGAGCGAAAGCCAGGGGAGCAAACGGG